rnacentral:lncRNA from 1 species
CUGAUUUUUAAGGGGACUGGGGAAAAUAUGGUAAGAGAACGACAACUGUGCCAAGCAGAUCUGUGGAAGGAGUAAUGGAAUAGCAUCAAUGGAAGGAAGAGUGAAUGUUACACACAGAGGAAAUCACUGUGUCUGGAGUUGUGCCUCUGAUUGGUCUUCUCAGCGUGUAGCUGCAGGAGAUCUCAUUGACACAAUCCACAUGAACUUCCAAGUCUUUUGACUUCAACAAAGGUUCCUUUAGGAAACUAGGCAGCCGUAGGUUAAGAAGGAAGGUCUUGUAAAAGGUUAAAUAGUUGUGUAAAAGUUAGGUAACAGAGCAUAGAAAUACCCCAUUCUCCCAGUGGAGAGAGGUUACUACUAAAGGUGAAGAAUGCUUUUUGCUGGGACCUGCGCAAUUCAGUACAUGAACGGACGAACUCAUUUAUGAAUAUGAAUGUGAAUUUAUAUGAAUCUAUAAAUUCAUUUAUGAAUAAUGCUCUGUAAAAGUAGGUGAACGUAGACUACUGAAAAAAAUUGUACUGAUGAUGCUACACUUUUCAGGGUGAGAGCUGAUUGUGAAGAACUACAGAAAGACAUUGCAUUGGCUGAGGGACAAUAAAUGGAGAAAAACAGAAACUUCAUCAAAAGUGAUGCAUGCUGGAAAUAGACAGUCCUGAUUUGGUGCAUGAAAUUGGUGCAUCAAGCUGGCCAUUAGCACUCAGGAGUGGGGACAUGGGGUUAUGCUGAAGGCUGGUGUGGACCCCUGGGAAGGACCCCUGGUGGAAGGUGAUGGAAUUAAAAUCUGUGGAGCUUACUGCCUUUGUGGAAGCACCUCUGGCUCAGAAAGUCCCUGAGCUGCAAACUGGCAGAGGCUGGAGAAGUAUCAAGGUCAUUACCCUUUCUGCGGACCGGCUUUUUCAGACAGCAGAAUUUCCUGCAAGUCCUGAGUCUUUUGUCACCAUUUCAGUGAUGAUGGAAUUUACAAGACCAGUUCACUCCGCGUUUUUUUCAAGGUACAGAUGUCAGCCAUGUGCCAUCUGGACUAAGUGCUAAAUAAGCGGUAUUACAAAAAAGAAGAAAGAAAACUUUGACAGCAAAGGUAAGCAGCCUGUGCUUAUCAGUC